GCGUUCUGGAAAGCCUCCUUCAACUCGUCGUCCAUUGGCUGCUCUUUGCCCUGGAUCAUGAUGGUGGAGCAGCGAUCCAGGAUCCUUUCAGGGGCUCCCUUCAUCACCAGCAGAAAGCCCCGCCCUGGUCUGGAAAAGAGGGGAGAGACAUUACAGAGAGGAGAAUGGACAAAGAGAAACA